UCCUUAGACGUUCUGGGCCGCACGCGCGCUACACUGACCAGUGCAACAAGCAUCCGUCCUUGGCCGACAGGCUCGGGCAAUCUUUGAACGCUGGUCGUGAUGGGGAUAGACUUUUGCAAUUUUUGGUCUUCAACGAGGAAUUCCUAGUAAACGCAAGUCAUCAACUUGCAUUGAUUACGUCCCUGCCCUUUGUACACACCGCCCGUCGCACCUACCGAUUGAAUGGUCCGGUGAAGCCUCCGGAUUGGCGCGCACCUCGGUGCCGCCGAGAAGUUGGCUAAACCUUACCAUUUAGAGGAAGGUGAAGUCGUAACA
rnacentral:rRNA from 1 species